AGAGUUUGAUCCUGGCUCAGAUUGAACGCUGGCGGCAGGCCUAACACAUGCAAGUCGAGCGGAAACGAGUUAUCUGAACCUUCGGGGGACGAUAACGGCGUCGAGCGGCGGACGGGUGAGUAAUGCCUAGGAAAUUGCCCUGAUGUGGGGGAUAACCAUUGGAAACGAUGGCUAAUACCGCAUGAUGCCUACGGGCCAAAGAGGGGGACCUUCGGGCCUCUCGCGUCAGGAUAUGCCUAGGUGGGAUUAGCUAGUUGGUGAGGUAAGGGCUCACCAAGGCAACGAUCCCUAGCUGGUCUGAGAGGAUGAUCAGCCACACUGGAACUGAGACACGGUCCAGACUCCUACGGGAGGCAGCAGUGGGGAAUAUUGCACAAUGGGCGCAAGCCUGAUGCAGCCAUGCCGCGUGUGUGAAGAAGGCCUUCGGGUUGUAAAGCACUUUCAGUCGUGAGGAAGGUAGUGUAGUUAAUAGCUGCAUUAUUUGACGUUAGCGACAGAAGAAGCACCGGCUAACUCCGUGCCAGCAGCCGCGGUAAUACGGAGGGUGCGAGCGUUAAUCGGAAUUACUGGGCGUAAAGCGCAUGCAGGUGGUUUGUUAAGUCAGAUGUGAAAGCCCGGGGCUCAACCUCGGAAUAGCAUUUGAAACUGGCAGACUAGAGUACUGUAGAGGGGGGUAGAAUUUCAGGUGUAGCGGUGAAAUGCGUAGAGAUCUGAAGGAAUACCGGUGGCGAAGGCGGCCCCCUGGACAGAUACUGACACUCAGAUGCGAAAGCGUGGGGAGCAAACAGGAUUAGAUACCCUGGUAGUCCACGCCGUAAACGAUGUCUACUUGGAGGUUGUGGCCUUGAGCCGUGGCUUUCGGAGCUAACGCGUUAAGUAGACCGCCUGGGGAGUACGGUCGCAAGAUUAAAACUCAAAUGAAUUGACGGGGGCCCGCACAAGCGGUGGAGCAUGUGGUUUAAUUCGAUGCAACGCGAAGAACCUUACCUACUCUUGACAUCCAGAGAACUUUCCAGAGAUGGAUUGGUGCCUUCGGGAACUCUGAGACAGGUGCUGCAUGGCUGUCGUCAGCUCGUGUUGUGAAAUGUUGGGUUAAGUCCCGCAACGAGCGCAACCCUUAUCCUUGUUUGCCAGCGAGUAAUGUCGGGAACUCCAGGGAGACUGCCGGUGAUAAACCGGAGGAAGGUGGGGACGACGUCAAGUCAUCAUGGCCCUUACGAGUAGGGCUACACACGUGCUACAAUGGCGCAUACAGAGGGCGGCCAACUUGCGAAAGUGAGCGAAUCCCAAAAAGUGCGUCGUAGUCCGGAUUGGAGUCUGCAACUCGACUCCAUGAAGUCGGAAUCGCUAGUAAUCGUGGAUCAGAAUGCCACGGUGAAUACGUUCCCGGGCCUUGUACACACCGCCCGUCACACCAUGGGAGUGGGCUGCAAAAGAAGUAGGUAGUUUAACCUUCGGGGGGACGCUUACCACUUUGUGGUUCAUGACUGGGGUGAAGUCGUAACAAGGUAACC
rnacentral:rRNA from 2 species